UACAGAGGUCCCAAGCGUUGUUCGGAUUCAUUGGGCGUAAAGGGUGCGUAGGCGGCGCGGUAAGUCGGGUGUGAAAUUUCGGAGCUUAACUCCGAAACUGCAUUCGAUAACUGCGGUGCUUGAGGACUGGAGAGGAGACUGGAAUUCAUGGUGUAGCAGUGAAAUGCGUAGAGAUCAUGAGGAAGACCAGUGGCGAAGGCGGGUCUCUGGACAGUUCCUGACACUGAGGCACGAAGGCCAGGGGAGCAAACGGG
rnacentral:rRNA from 1 species